AUGGUGUUCUCGGACUCUCCGUGUGGCGACCUCAUUGCCGGCGUCGGCGCCAACGGACGGACCGUGCUCUACGACGGCACCGCGCUCUCCCGCGGCCCCGACAUGACCUCCGCCAAGCAUUUGGUGUUCCUAGUCCCCGUGGGCUGCCGCAUGUUCUUCGCCAUCUCCGCCUUCCCCGGAUACGACUUGGGACCCCGGUUCGAGACUCUACAGCAGCAGCCUAGCCCUGGCGGCGGCGGCAGUCGCUGGGCCUGGAGCGCCGUCCCGGACCCGGACCCACCGGGUCUUGCCUGCCGCCGGCCGGAAGUCAAGGCCUACUUUGUGUCGGGCGCACGCGUCUGGGUCUCCUUCCGCUACCGGGGCACCUACUCCUAUCACACGGCACACCGCCGGUGGCGCGCGGAGGGCGCCUGGCAGCUGCCCAUCCAUAGGAGGGGCGUGCUAGUCCCGGACUUCCUCGGCACCGGUCGGCGGCUGCUAUUCGGCAUUCAUUCGUUAGAUGGUCAUUACAAUGACAAUCCCUUUUGCGCCGUUGACAUGGACGCCAGGCCCCCGGCGGUCGUCGCGACCUGGCCGGAAGCAUACCCUUCUGAGCAGUUGUGGCGUGCUGGAUAUAGAACACGCGGGCAAUUGGCCGAGGUCGGAUACUAUGGAGGCGGUAGGUUUUGCCUCUGGGUGACCAAUCACGACAACACGAAAGCCAAGGCACAACGACGCAGCAUCCUCAGUUUCAUGGCUGUCCAGCUCUCCUCGGAGCUGCACCUGCUGGAGCACCAACCCAGUAACUACAUGCUACCCCUAAGCUCACGCCAUUUUCCUGCUGAUAUAAUAAUGUAG
rnacentral:rRNA from 1 species